UUGAUGAAGUGACACUGCAGAUGGAAAUUUACACUCUUUGAAGAUUCCUGGCACAUCUGAACACAGAAAAUACUGCAUAUCUAAAUGUUUUAGUUAUACAAUGAGGAUUCAACUUCUCUUCCAUUAGUUGCUACUUGAAAUUCUAUACGAAUGCCAAUUUAUGGAUAUUCUGUAACUUAUCCAUGGGAAACACUGAAAUUGAGAUUGAUGGAAGUAUCAGAACCAUCACAUCGCUGACACGCCAGAGAACAGAAAGGUCUCUCUGAAUCCUAGUCCUACCCUCCAGGAUAUCUACUACUCCCCCCAGCUUGGUGUCAUCUGCAAACUUUCCAAGGGUGCAGUCCAUCCUGUCUUCCAGGUCACUGAUGAAGGUAUUGAACAAACCUGGCCCCAGGACCAACCCCUGGGGCACUACACUUGAUACCGGCUGCCAAGUAGUCACUGAGUCUUUUCAGCCCAACAAUCCAGCCAGUUCUCUAUCCAAU